rnacentral:rRNA from 1 species
GCAAGUCGAGGGGUAACAGAUGAAGAGCUUGCUCAGAUUGCUGACGACCGGCGCACGGGUGAGUAACACGUAUGCAACCUACCUUUUACAGAGGGAUAGCCCAGAGAAAUUUGGAUUAAUACCUCAUAAUAUUUUUAACUCGCAUGAGUUUUAAAUUAAAACUUCGGUGGUAAAAGAUGGGCAUGCGUUAGAUUAGCUAGUUGGUAAGGUAACGGCUUACCAAGGCUACGAUCUAUAGGGGGUCUGAGAGGAUGAUC